rnacentral:rRNA from 1 species
UCCGUAGGUGAACCUGCGGAAGGAUCAUUGAAUCUAUUAACAACCACACCGUGAACCAUUAUGUCCCGGCCCUUGCGACUGGUUACCUCUUAUGGAGGUAGCCAGUUGGGUCUGAUCGUCUAACAACCUGACCUUAGGGUCAGCUGUCUUUCAAUCGGAUUGGUCUUACUGUCCAACCUUUACACACCAAACCAAACCAACUGAUGAAUGUAUGUGCUGCCGACUUGGCUUCACACACACAACAAAUGACAACUCUCAACAACGGAUAUCUUGGCUCUCGCAACGAUGAAGAACGCAGCGAAAUGCGAUACGUAGUGUGAAUUGCAGAAUUCCGUGAAUCAUCAAAUCUUUGAACGCAUAUUGCGCUCGAGGCUUCGGCCAAGAGCAUGUCUGCCUCAGCGUCGGUGUAACCCUCACCCCAACCAUCCACUUGUGUGGAUUGUCGGUGUGGACAUGGUCGUCCUCAGCUAAACCUGUGGUCGGCUUAAGAACGAGGCUGCAGUUCCUUUAUGGACCAUGAUUGGGUAGGCAAUCCGUUGGCUACAUGGCUUAAUCGGUUGGGGGUCGGGGGAUCUGGUAAUGGCCCA